CGUAGGGUGCGAGCGUUAAUCGGAAUUACUGGGCGUAAAGCGUGCGCAGGCGGUUUUGUAAGACAGAUGUGAAAUCCCCGGGCUCAACCUGGGACCUGCAUUUGUGACUGCAAGGCUAGAGUACGGUAGAGGGGGAUGGAAUUCCGCGUGCAGCAGUGAAAUGCGUAGAUAUGCGGAGGAACACCGAUGGCGAAGGCAAUCCCCUGGACCUGUACUGACGCUCAUGCACGAAAGCGUGGGGAGCAAACAGGAUUAGAUACCCUGGUAGUCCACGCCCUAAACGAUGUCAACUGGUUGUUGGGUCUUUACUGACUCAGUAACGAAGCUAACGCGUGAAGUUGACCGCCUGGGGAGUACGGCCGCAAGGUUG
rnacentral:rRNA from 1 species